GCUCCUGGUAUAUUGUAUACUUACAUAUUGUGCAUUUCGUGUGUAUAUGUCAUAUAAUUUCUGACCACUUUCAUCAUUAAGUGCAGAUUUAAAAUAGAAGGACAAAAAUAAAAAUAUACAUUAUUUUGCAUAUUCUAUCCAUACUUUUUUACAGGUGUCUACAGAAAUGAUUUUAAAUAAUGUAAUAACCUUUUGCCUUAAUAUGUCACUUACUUAUUUAGACCAAAUAAUUUCAUUAAAAACUAUCCAGAAUGGUAUACAGAAUAUGGUAAAGAUUUUGACUUACUAUUCACUUUUAAUAUUCACAAUUAAUCUAACCUUCUAGAGCUAUCUUCAAGAAUUGCACAUGGCUAUAAUGAGUAAAUUUUG
rnacentral:lncRNA from 1 species